GUAACACGUGGGAAUUUUCCUCAAGGUACGGAACAACUCAGGGAAACUUGGGCUAAUACCGUAUGAUGCAGCGAUGCCAAAGAUUUAUCGCCUUGGGAUAAGCCCGCGUCAGAUUAGGUAGUUGGUGGGGUAAUGGCCUACCAAGCCUGCGAUCUGUAGCUGGUCUGAGAGGACGAUCAGCCACAUUGGGACUGAGACACGGCCCAAACUCCUACGGGAGGCAGCAGUGGGAAUCUUGCGCAAUGGGCGAAAGCCUGACGCAGCCAUGCCGCGUGAAUGAUGAAGGUCUUAGGACUGUAAAGUUCUUUAGCCUGUGACGAUGAUGACGGUAACAGGAGAAUAAGCCCCGGCUAACUUCAUGCCAGCAGCCGCGGUAAUACGAAGGGGGCUAGCGUUGUUCGGAAUUACUGGGCGUAAAGCGCGCGUAGGCGGUUUUACAAGCCAGAGGUGAAAUGCCUGAGCUUAACUUGGGAAUUGCCUUAGGAACUGUAUGACUUUGAGGACGAGAGAGGUGAGUGGAAUUCCCAGUGUAGAGGUGAAAUUCGUAGAUAUUGGGAAGAACACCGGUGGCGAAGGCGGCUCACUGGCUCGUUUCUGACGCUGCAGCG
rnacentral:rRNA from 1 species